CUCGUCAGGGCCUGGAUGGUUAAUAAAUCGUGCUGCGUCCAGACGACGGGCCAGUGCGAGUCAUCGAAGAGAGUAACGAGGAUGGAGAAUUCCGGCAUCUUUUGGUUUUAAGUCAACGUAACUCAGUGUAGCUUACACUGGAAUUUCCUGGCUCAGUUCCCGGAGUAUCAGUGAUGGACUUGGCCUCGGGGAUAUAGAGACCAGAGAUGCAAAAUGCCCUUGUCCCCUCCUUCUCUCAUUCUCUCAGUCUGUCUGAGCUGCUUCUGUCUCUGGCUUCAGAUGAGUUUUCGCGGUAGGGCAGCCUGGCCGCAGACAGCUCUAGGCUCACCUCACAUCACCUUUGGCUUCAGAAGGAGGGCCCACCAAGACAAAUUCUCAGGGUAAGACUUCGAUUGGCUAGGCCUCGGUCACGUGCUCAUCUCUGGACCAAUCACUGCAAGAGCAUGGGAGGGGCACCGUGACUGGUCAGGCCCGGGUCGAGUGCCCAGCCCAGUGGUCAGAAGGGAGGUGAGGGGACAGCCCCGCCAGAACCACCAGGAGAAGGGCAGCUCCUCAAAGCAAGGAAAACUGGGUGGAUAAAAGCAACAGAUGUCCAGUCUUGCUAUUUUCUGAAUGCUCAGCUAGACAACAAGACGAAAGCCAACGAAAUGGGUGGAUCUGGUCCCUGGUCCACUUAACUGCUGCCUUGGAUGUAAAUACACAGUGGAAGAAUGUUCACGAAAAUCUUAACAGGCACGGUCUCUGUGCCGUGGGAUUUAAGACAUUCAGUGAGAUAGAUGUGAUCAUCCCCAUUUUAUAAUGAGGAGCUGAGGCCCGGAGGGUAAGGUGUCCUGUCCAAGGUUCCAUGGUCUAUGAGUGAUAGCAACGUGAGACCUGAGAGUCUAGGUCACAAAGCCGGCCACGUCCGUCUUCCCCCGUCACUGCGUCUCCUGAGGGUGGAGCGAGGUCCAGAGGGCCCUGGAGAGCCCGUCGGACGGCAGACAAUCCACAGAUGAUUCUAUGCACGUGAUGAGUUCUGGGAACAGGUGUGAACAGGUAAUGAUGGAUUCUCGGUGGGGAGAACCCGUGAAGGGGGCACGGAGGAGGGUGUUGUGUGAGUUGGCUUGGAAGAGAGAAGGCCGACGAAGGAAGGGCCUCAAGUGGUGGGAACAGCAUGUGCAAACUGCAGCAGUGGAGACUGAGCGGGUGACAUCUAGGCACAUCCUGGGCUGGAGCACUUGCUGUUAGGGACAGAAAGGAAGCAGCCUUGGCGGGAAAUUCCUCUUGUACCGGACGCCACAGAAGGGCAUUCACAUCCCUUGUCUCAAGGGCGGCUCACCACACCCCUGCCAGGUGGCUGUUGUGAUCCCGUUUCAGUGACGAGUGAGGCUGAGCCUCAGAGAGUUUCCGUGAUACCCCCGGGUCACACAGCCAGACGGCGGGGAGCUAGCAGCCAGCCCCAGCUCUGACGUGCACUUUAGAAAGGUCACUCUCACUGUCAUGUGAAAGAAGGACUUGGUAAGACAGAGAAAAGCAGAGAGACUCAAAUGAUCUUCACAAGGGGGCCAAGAGCAUUCAGUGCGGGAAAGGGCUGUCUUUUCAAUGAGUGGUGCUGGGAAAACCGGAUCUCCACAUGUGAAAGGAGGAAGUUAGUCCCUACCUCACGCCGUACACAAAACUUCACUCAAAAUGGAUCAGGGACCUAAGUGUAAGGCCUAAAACAGUAAAACUCUUAGAAGAAAACACAGGACCAAAGAUUCAUGAUGCUGGAUUUGGUGAUGAUUCCUUGCAUAAGACUCCAAAGGGACAGGUAACAAAAGGAAAAAUAGACAAAUUGGACUUCAUGAAAAUUUAAAAAUUUUGUGCAUUAAAAAUUACUGUCA